rnacentral:rRNA from 1 species
UACGUAGGGUGCAAGCGUUGUCCGGAAUUAUUGGGCGUAAAGAGCUCGUAGGCGGUUUGUUGCGUCGGCUGUGAAAUCCCGAGGCUCAACCUCGGGUCUGCAGUCGAUACGAGCAAACUAGAGUGUUGCAGGGGAGACUGGAAUUCCUGGUGUAGCGGUGAAAUGCGCAGAUAUCAGGAGGAACACCGGUGGCGAAGGCGGGUCUCUGGGCAACAACUGACGCUGAGGUGCGAAAGCGUGGGGGAGCAAACAGG